rnacentral:rRNA from 1 species
ACGAACGCUGGCGGCGUGCUUAACACAUGCAAGUCGAACGGAAAGGCCCUGCUUUUGUGGGGUGCUCGAUUGGCGAACGGGUGAGUAACACGUGAGUAACCUGCUCUUGACUUUGGGAUGACUUCAGGAAACUGGGGCUACUACCGGAUAGGAGCUCCUGCAGCAGGGUGGGGGUUGGAAAGUUUCGGCGGUUGGGGAUGGAUGGGCGGCUUAUCGGCUUGUUGGUGGGGGAGUGGCUUGCCAAGGCUUUGACGGGUCGCCGGCCUGAGAGGGUGACCGGCGACCAUGCGCCUGCGAGACGGAGCAGACUGGUACGGUAGGCAGUGGUGGGAAGUAUUGCCCAACGGGCGCAAGUGUGUUGAGACGACGUUGCGUUCGGGAUGCCGGCUUUUGGGUUGUGAACAGCUGUCGCCUGUGACGAAGCGUGAGUGACGGUACUGGGUAAAGAAGCACCGGCUAACUACGUG